rnacentral:lncRNA from 1 species
UAAACAUUUUUCCUGGAUAGACGCAUCAUCCCUGUCACAUCAUCUAAUUCUACAGAUACGAUCUGUGAACUUGGCAUACAACUCUGAGCCACUGCUUUCUGCUUUCUCAACCCCUCUGCACUUACAAAUUGGCUACUAGCUCAAGGAGAUUCAAGGCUACUAGCUUCAAGGAGAAUGUAGGGCUUACCUCGUUGCAGUUCGCUUUUCCAUGGGAUCGUGGACCCUCAAGUCCUGGCAGCCUGGGUUGCUUUCUGAUGCCUUCAAACAACUCCUAAAUGCCUACCAGCACCAAGCAGGAAAUGAUAAAAAGAGGCUGAUGAGUUUCGGGUGUGGUUCAGCCUGGGAAGCCUCCUUAUUCACAGGAAGCCAGUCCUCGGCUUACACAGCAUCAGGGGAUCAACCACCACACCGUGAUCUAAACUGAGGCCCGCAGAAGUUGGAACAAUGUUAAAAUGAAAGCUUAAAUCAGCCCCAAUUAAAAGAUGAUAUGUCAUUUAAAUCACAAGGAUGUUCUCUAUGAGGCCUUAGAGCUGAAGUCCUUGCACAGCCGACUCUGGCACCCAUCAGCACAUCUCAGACCUUUUCUAGGUUUGGUCCCUGCAUUCAUCAGGACUUUAGAUUACAGGUGGCAGAAAUCAAAUCAAAUGGCUCAAAUAAAAUGGACAAUUGCUAGUUCAUCAUAUCUUUUUAAAACUCCAAAUAUAGACUUUCAGGUAUGGUUAACUUCAGGUUCUAGGUCUAGGCAGCCUUCUUCCCCAUCUUUAGGUCUGCCUUCCCCUCUGUGGGCUCCAUUCUUGGGCAGCCUCUCUUUGUGGCGUGGCGUGGCUUCUGGCAGAUCCAGCAACUCCCAUAGAGAUGUGAGUUUCAUAUCCCUCAGUUUCCAUGGGAGAGCUAAGUCUCAUUGGCUCUGACUGGACCCCUUGGCUAUCUCAUUGAGCCAGUCUCUGUGGCCAAAAGGGCUGGAACACUCUGACAGUUCAGUCCCAAGUUAACUCAUGCCACUGUAGAAAAGCCCCCAGUCUCAGAUUUCGAAGAAAGAUGUGACUCUUUGUAAGAGCUGUGUCAUAGGAAGGGGGAAAGCACUCACCAGUUUCCUAAUAGAGCAAAACGUCACUUGUAAUCUAGGGUCCUGAUUAAUGCAGAGACCAAACCUAGGAAAGAUCUGGAUGCUGGAGUCUACUGUUUGAGGACUUCACCUCUAAGACCUCAUAUAAACAUCCUUUCAAGCUUUCUUCUAUACCCAAGGCCCCUCCAACCUUUGCCUGGAGAGGAGAGACGGUGACUCUGGUGAGGAACAGGCUGAGCGGCAGAGGGGCGAGCAGACCUCUUCAUUGUGGAUCCACGUCUUCGUAGAGGCUUUUGAGAGGAUCCUGACCACAUGCAUUUGGAAGAGGUCACUAUAUUUUUUCAGUAAAACAUUUAGGAUCUGUAAAGAGGUCACGGUGUUCG